rnacentral:rRNA from 1 species
AUGGAAAGGGGUAAAGCCCGGUUCAAAAAAAAUUCCGAUAUACACUCCCUCACAUGCUGGUUCGAGUUCAGGGCUUCGGAUAUCUCUUUUUUUGUCACUAAUGUCUACGGUCCUUCGGAUCACGCGCGUAAACCUGAGUUCCUCGCCUCCCUCUCUAGUCUCAAGACCAUGAUCUCCGGCCCAUGGACUAUUAUCGGCGAUUUCAACUUGAUUCUUUGUCGGUCCGAAAAAUCCAAUGCGAACUUUAAUCACUCCGAGGCGGCAAUGUUUUCCUCUAUGAUUCAAUCGUUGCAACUGCAAGAUCUUCCUCUCCUGGAUCGCCUUUACACCUGGUCCAACCAGCAAGAUAACCCCAUUUUGAUCGCACUCUGA